rnacentral:rRNA from 1 species
GAUGAACGCUGGCGGCGUGCCUAAUACAUGCAAGUCGAGCGAACAAAUGAGGAGCUUGCUCCUCUGACGUUAGCGGCGGACGGGUGAGUAACACGUGGAUAACCUACCUAUAAGACUGGGAUAACUUCGGGAAACCGGAGCUAAUACCGGAUAAUAUAUUGAACCGCAUGGUUCAAUAGUGAAAGACGGUUUUGCUGUCACUUAUAGAUGGAUCCGCGCCGCAUUAGCUAGUUGGUAAGGUAACGGCUUACCAAGGCGACGAUGCGUAGCCGACCUGAGAGGGUGAUCGGCCACACUGGAACUGAGACACGGUCCAGACUCCUACGGGAGGCAGCAGUAGGGAAUCUUCCGCAAUGGGCGAAAGCCUGACGGAGCAACGCCGCGUGAGUGAUGAAGGUCUUCGGAUCGUAAAACUCUGUUAUUAGGGAAGAACAAAUGUGUAAGUAACUAUGCACGUCUUGACGGUACCUAGUCAGAAAGCCACGGCUAACUACGUG